ACUGCUUGAUAAUUGGUGUUGAUGUGUUUACAUCCCUCUAACUCAGCAGUUCGGCAAAAGAGUCUAAUGGAGUAAGUACCUGGCUUAACAAAAAAAAUAAGUCCUGGGGGGUCAAUUCAUUUGACUGAAAGUUCUUCAAUAUGGUGCCGCAGUUUGAAGCUAGUAAAAGAUAUUUAUAUGAACUAGUGUGUGUGUGCAUGCAUCUAUGUUAUAUUUAUAUGGAUAUAAAUGUAUUUGGUUUACUGCAAUUUGGAUGUAUGCAAUUAUUGUAUCAGGACAAUUACCCCCCUUGGUUAAUUAAUCUCUCUCCAAUAUAUUAAGUUUUAAACCCUCAUCUGUUGUUCCUCAGGGGUUAUUGUCCAUGAGGUGAGGGGAGUAAAUGUCCUAGACUUGCACGUAUAUCUACGUCAACUGUAGCCGCAAACUGCCAGUUGUUGAAGACCUCUGUGAACGAAGGGAGGUCACUCUAAUUUCGUUACACAUCUGUCCUGAAGUUCUUAUUGAAGAGAGAAGAUUAAUUAAGACUAAAAUCUGUGAAAGAAAUCUAUUUUCCAGAGGUCGGGUUUCUAUUGUUAUAUCUAUAAUGUUUAUCAGUAAAUACUUAUUGAUUUAGCAAUGGAAUGGGGUCCCUGCUUACUGUUAUUAAAUCAAUUAGACAUAGAAUAACUAUUUUAACUGUUUUACUGCAGAAAGCAAUUUUAUAUACCAAUCUAUCUUUUCCUGAGGAAUGUCAUGUUUGAAACUAUUUUAUUGUUGAGGUAUGUCAUGUUUAUUGAGACAAUGUGACUUGUAGAAAAUACUUUUCUUUUUUUUCUGGUAAAUAUUUUGUCAUAGUUUCUGGAAUAAUCAUGAAAUUUAAUUUCGCAAUAAAAGAGUUAAAAGAAUAUAGAAUAAUUAAAAAUUAACAUGUAAAUAAAAGUAAAAAGGAAAAUAAAUAUAGGCUAGUGUUGGGAAAUUGUGUUACUCCUCCUAGAAUGUCAUUCACGAAGGAAUAUCCACUUGUUAAUUGAAAUAUAAUAUUUUAGAUAGACACUUGUAUUUUUUUUUUUGUACUAACUACUCUAUUUUUCUUGUUGCUUAUACUGCUUUAAUUCCCAGUUUGAACAGGUAUAAAUACAGAUAUAAAUAUAUUAGAUGUAUAUAAAAUGUAAAUGAAUAACUGUUUCUUUUUCUUUUUUUUUUUAUUUUGAAUCUUGUGAUAAACUGCUUGGUAAAUACUCAGGCUGCAUUUCUGUUUUUACAUGUAUAUGUGUAUAUAUGUAUGUAUGUGUGCAUGUAUAUGUAUAUAUAUAUAUAUAUAUAAUAUUGUUUGUACAGUUAGAUGUACAACUGCUGCUAGUGAGUUAAGAGCUCCAUUGUAGAGCAUUGUCGUCCACUCUACAAGUACAGUGGUGUGGUCAAUACUGUACUUAAGUAGUACUGCUGGUUAGAAUAUACACACCAAAAUGUAAGAGAAAUUAUAGUAAACACAAGUCUGUAUCAUUCGUUCCCUACGUGUGUUUCGUGUUUCACUAUUGUUGUUUAUACCCAUCCUUUACAUUGGAUGUUCAAAACUGCAAUAGGAUGCUGAGCCACAAGAAACUCUUCGUUGCAUCAUAUUACAAUGAGGCAUUUUAUCUGAGUAACAUAAUGCAAUAGAAUGUUCUGCUGAUGAUCCGUUGCCGUUCAGUAUCCAAUCGCUCUUUGAACAUCCAAUGCGGAGGUUGCAAAUAACGAUAAUGGGGAAAUAU
rnacentral:lncRNA from 1 species